rnacentral:rRNA from 1 species
UACGGAGGGUGCAAGCGUUAUCCGGAUUCACUGGGUUUAAAGGGUGCGUAGGUGGGCUAGUAAGUCCGUGGUGAAAUCCCCAAGCUUAACUUGGAAACUGCCGUGGAUACUAUUAGUCUUGAAUAUUGUGGAGGUAAGCGGAAUAUGUCAUGUAGCGGUGAAAUGCUUAGAUAUGACAUAGAACACCGAUAGCGAAGGCAGCUUGCUACACAAUCAUUGACACUGAGGCACGAAAGCGUGGGGAUCAAACAGG